rnacentral:rRNA from 1 species
ACCCGUGCAUCCAGCAAUGCCGCGUGUGCGAAGAAGGCCUUCGGGUUGUAAAGCACUUUUGUCAGGGAAGAAAAGUUUGUGCUAAUACCAUAAGCCGAUGACGGUACCUGCAGAAGAAGCCCCGGCCAACUACGUGCCAGCAGCCGCGGUAAUACGUAGGGGCAGCGUUGUCCGGAUUUAUUGGGCGUAAAGAGUUCGUAGGCGGCUUGGCAAGUCGGGUGUGAAAACUUCAGGCUCAACCUGGAGAUGGCACUCGAUACUGCUAUGGCUAGAGUCCGGUAGGGGACCACGGAAUUCCUGGUGUAGCGGUGAAAUGCGCAGAUAUCAGGAGGAACACCGGUUGGCGAAGGCGGUGGUCUGGGCCGGCACUGACGCUGAGGAGCGAAAGCGUGGGGAGCAAACA